AUGCUUUAAAUAACUAUUAAGUUAUAAAAUCGGUACGUUUCUGAAGCAAUCUUAUUCUUUUGAUAAAUUAAUUUGAGGCUGCUGAAAAAUAAUUCUGUUGAACCUGUAAUAACCUGUCAAAUUCUGAUAUCAACCACACAAAGCUCGUAUAUAGACUUAGUAACAGACUUUAGUCAGUGUAGCUUCAUUUAUUUUUGACAGGAAUGAAAACGAGGCUGUGAGGGAUUGAAGUACAGUUAAGUGAAUUGUACGGCGUGUGGAAUGGAACAUCAGCUGACUAAACAGGAAAUAAAAAAAAAACAGAAGUAGACAAAAAGUCAAUAAAACAGUUUUGAAAGUUCUGAGUUAUGAGGUAUGUUAUGAUAUUUUAUGAUCUGGGACCUUUAUUCAGUGUGCGCCAGUGUAAACACUCAGCCUCCUUUUCAUCCGAUAUGGCGUCUAACCUGACUAAGGAUCCAUCAUGGUUUGGUCUGAUUUCUGAUUUCUCAUCUUCAGGCAGAGAUGUGUGAUUUUUCCUAAUAGUCAGCAUCACGUCUUUGGGGUAGAAGCCAGUGGCCAUACAGGUAUCCUUUGGUGUAUUGGUUUAGGAUCGGCACACUGUCCCAUUUUCUCUUGGUUGGUAGAGCUGCAUCAAUAAAGGCGACCCAUUGAGACUCUUUAAUAUCAAAAGACAAGAAGUUUUCUCCAUCAUAGCCGUACUCAUCAAUGCCUUUGAGAAACUUCACUUCAUCUCCCUGCUGCUCAACUUCACAACCGUGUCUUCACUGAAGAACAUGAAGAUCUGACAUGGAGAAGAGUCAAAAUGUUUGUGAGAUGAUGAUGAUAAUAAUAAUAAUAAUAAUAAACAUAAUAAGAUAAUCAUAUGCAGGUUAAACUGUAUGAAUGUUCCUCACCUGAUUCAUUGUGUCUCAUUCGGUCCAUCAUAAUGUGGACGUUCACAUUAAACCACUGUUCUUUA